rnacentral:rRNA from 1 species
GAUGAACGCUGGCGGCGUGCCUAAUACAUGCAAGUCGAGCGAACAGACGCGGAGCUUGCUCCUCUGACGUUAGCGGAGGACGGGUGAGUAACACGUGGAUAACCUACCUAUAAGACUGGGAUCACUUCGGGAAACCGGCGCUAAUACCGGAUAAUAUAUUGAACCGCAUGGUUCAAUAGUGAAAGACGGUUUUGCUGUCACUUAUAGAUGGAUCCGCGCCGCAUUAGCUAGUUGGUAAGGUAACGGCUUACCAAGGCAACGAUGCGUAGCCGACCUGAGAGGGGGAUCGGCCACACUAGAGCUGGGACACGGUCCAGACUCCUACGGGAGGCAGCAGUAGGGAAUCUGCCGCAAUGGGCGAAAGCCUGACGGAGCAACGCCGCGUGAGUGAUGAAGGUCUUCGGAGCGUAAAACUCUGUUAUUAGGGAAGAACAAAUGUGUAAGUAACUAUGCACUUCUUGACGGUACCUAAUCAGAAAGCCACGGCUAACUACGUG